rnacentral:sRNA from 1 species
UUUUAGCCCUGAUAGUAGCGGCAUACUUUUCCUGCUUUCUUUAAGCAGGGAAAGAUAUAGCGGAUAGCAGGAUUAGCU